rnacentral:rRNA from 1 species
AGAAUCAACGCUGGCGGCGUGCCUCAGACAUGCAAGUCGAACGCGAAAGUUCCCUUCGGGGGGCAAGUAGAGUGGCGCACGGGUGAGUAACACGUAGGUAAUCUACCUUUGGAUGGGGGAAUAACAACCGGAAAACGGUUGCUAAUACCGCAUAAUGCAGCGGCACCUAAUGGUGACAGUUGUUAAAGCGGGGGAUCGAAAGACCUCGCGUCUGAAGAGGAGCCUGCGGCGGAUUAGCUAGUUGGUAAGGUAAUGGCUUACAAGGCUACGAUCC